AUUGAACGCUGGCGGCAUGCCUUACACAUGCAAGUCGAACGGUAACGGGCCUUCGGGUGCCGACGAGUGGCGAACGGGUGAGUAAUGCAUCGGAACGUACCUUUCAGUGGGGGAUACCGUAGCGAAAGUUACGCUAAUACCGCAUAUUCUGUGAGCAGGAAAGCAGGGGAUCGCAAGACCUUGCGCUGAUUGAGCGGCCGAUGUCAGAUUAGCUAGUUGGUGAGGUAAAGGCUCACCGAGGCGACGAUCUGUAGCGGGUCUGAGAGGAUGAUCCGCCACACUGGAACUGAGACACGGUCCAGACUCCUACGGGAGGCAGCAGUGGGGAAUUUUGGACAAUGGGGGCAACCCUGAUCCAGCCAUGCCGCGUGAGUGAAGAAGGCCUUCGGGUUGUAAAGCUCUUUCGGCCGGGAAGAAAUCGCAUGGGUUAAUACCCUGUGCGGAUGACGGUACCGGCAUAAGAAGCACCGGCUAACUACGUG
rnacentral:rRNA from 1 species